GAUAUGUAAUCAUGGAAAAAGAAAUCACCAGUUUGAUAGAAAGAAUUUUUUUUACAUAUUUGAGGUGCACAGUGGAGUCUAUCAUAACUGCUGGCAUCACAGCCUGGUAUGGAAACACCAAAGCCCAGAAAUGGAAAAUGCUACAGGAAGUGGUGGAUACAGCCCAGUCCAUCACAGGCAAAGCCCUCCCCACCACUGAGUACACUUACAUGGAGCAUUGCCACAGGAAAGCAGCAUCCAUCAACAAAGACCCCCACCACCAUCAUCUCUUCUCAUUACUACCAUCAGAGACUUCUCACUGAAGUGUUCAACAAUAAUCAGCCAGCAUGGAGAGAUUCCAAUUGCCCUGAUACCAUUUCUUCAUGACUGCAAUGUCCUGGUGUAACUUUUCAAAACUCAUCACAACAGUGCCAAG